rnacentral:rRNA from 1 species
UACGUAGGGUCCGAGCGUUGUCCGGAAUUAUUGGGCGUAAAGAGCUCGUAGGCGGUUUGUCGCGUCUGCUGUGAAAUCCCGAGGCUCAACCUCGGGCCUGCAGUGGGUACGGGCAGACUGGAGUGCGGUAGGGGAGAAUGGAAUUCCUGGUGUAGCGGUGGAAUGCGCAGAUAUCAGGAGGAACACCGAUGGCGAAGGCAGUUCUCUGGGCCGUUACUGACGCUGAGACGCGAAAGCGUGGGGAGCAAACAGG